rnacentral:rRNA from 1 species
CCUACGGGCGGCAGCAGUGGGGAAUAUUGGACAAUGGGGGGAACCCUGAUCCAGCCAUGCCGCGUGUGUGAAGAAGGCCCUCGGGUUGUAAAGCACUUUCAGUGAGGAAGAACGCCUGGUGGUUAAUACCCAUCAGGAAAGACAUCACUCACAGAAGAAGCACCGGCUAACUCCGUGCCAGCAGCCGCGGUAAUACGGAGGGUGCGAGCGUUAAUCGGAAUUACUGGGCGUAAAGCGCGCGUAGGUGGCUUGAUAAGCCGGUUGUGAAAGCCCCGGGCUCAACCUGGGAACGGCAUCCGGAACUGUCAAGCUAGAGUGCAGGAGAGGAAGGUAGAAUUCCCGGUGUAGCGGUGAAAUGCGUAGAGCUCGGGAGGAAUACCAGUGGCGAAGGCGGCCUUCUGGACUGACACUGACACUGAGGUGAGAAAGCGUGGGUAGCAAACAGGAUUAGAUACCCUUGUAGUC